AUUGAACGCUGGCGGCAUGCCUUACACAUGCAAGUCGAACGGCAGCACGUGUGCUCGCACCUGGUGGCGAGUGGCGUACGGGUGAGUAAUACAUCGGAACAUGUCCUGCAGUGGGGGCUAGCCCGGCGAAAGCCGGAUUAAUACCGCAUACGAUCCACGGACGAAAGCGGGGGACCUACGGGCCUGGCGCUAUAGGGUUGGUCGAUGGCUGAUUAGCUAGUUGGUGGGGUAAAGGCCUACCAAGGCGACGAUCAGUAGCUGGUCUGAGAGGACGACCAGCCACACUGGGACUGAGACACGGCCCAAACUCCUACGGGAGGCAGCAGUGGGGAAUUUUGCACAAUGGGCGAAAGCCUGAUCCAGCAAUGCCGCGUGUGUGAAGAAGGCCUUCGGGUCGUAAAGCACUUUUGUCCGGAAAGAAAGCCUUGGCCCUAAUACGGUCGGGGGAUGACGGUACCGGAAGAAUAAGCACCGGCUAACUACGUG
rnacentral:rRNA from 1 species